rnacentral:rRNA from 1 species
GAUGAACGCUGGCGGCGUGCCUAAUACAUGCAAGUCGAGCGAACAGACGAGGAGCUUGCUCCUCUGACGUUAGCGGCGGACGGGUGAGUAACACGUGGAUAACCUACCUAUAAGACUGGGAUAACUUCGGGAAACCGUAGCUAAUACCGGAUAAUAUAUUUAACCGCAUGGUUCAAUAGUGAAAUACGGUUUUGCUGUCACUUAUAGAUGGAUCCGCGCCGCAUUAGCUAGUUGGUAAGGUAACGGCUUACCAAGGCAACGAUGCGUAGCCGACCUGAGAGGGUGAUCGGCCACACUGGAACUGAGACACGGUACAGACUCCGACGGGAGGCAGAAGUAGGGACUCGUCCGAACUGGGCGAAAGCCUGCAGGAGCAACGCCGCGUGAGUGAUGAAGGUCUUCGGAUCGUAAAACUCUGUUAUUAGGGAAGACCACAUGCGUAAGUAACUAUGCACGUUUUGACGGUACCUAAUCAGAAAGCAACGGCUAACUACGUG